GCAGCCCUUCCAUCUUUUAUAAAUAGCCCUGCGUCCAGUAUCUAACUCCAAACAAGGAACAAAUUCGAUCCAUCAACGCUGAAUGUUCUACUGGGAAUUUCACUCACCAAGUUUACACAAAAAGUUUAACUAUAACCAGGUCAGUAGGACGUCACCAAGUCAGCACAACGCACUUCCGGUAGGGGCGUACGCAGGAUUUUAACAAGUUGCAGUCAAAGCAUUCAGAAGCUGAAUGAGGGCGUGGCCCCUCAACCCGCAUCCCCGUGAAGAUUUCAUAGCUCCCGCUUUUGAGUUUGAAAUUGGCGUCAAUGUUCCCUGCUAGCAGAG